AUUGAACGCUCGCGGGAUGCUUUACACAUGCAAGUCGAACGGCAGCGCGGACUUCGGUCUGGCGGCGAGUGGCGAACGGGUGAGUAAUGUAUCGGAACGUGCCCAGUAGCGGGGGAUAACUACGCGAAAGCGUAGCUAAUACCGCAUACGCCCUACGGGGGAAAGCAGGGGAUGGUAAGACCUUGCACUAUUGGAGCGGCCGAUAUCGGACUAGCUAGUUGGUCGGGUAACGGCUCACCAAGGCGACGAUCCGUAGCUGGUGUGAGAGGACGGCCAGCCACACUGGGAGUGAGACAGGGCCAAUACUACUACGGGAGGCAGCAGUGGGGAAUGUUGGACAAUGGGGGCAACCCUGACACAGCCAUCCCGCGUGUGCGAUGAAGGCCUUCGGGUUGUAAAGCACGUUUGGCAGGAAAGAAACGUCGCGGGCUAAUACCCCGUGGAACUGACGGUACCUGCAGAAUAAGCACCGGCUAACUACGUG
rnacentral:rRNA from 1 species